AAUCCAUGCAUCGGGCACUUUUGAAUUAAAUCCUUAAAUCGAUCCCAAGCUUCAUAUAUCGUUUCAUCCUCUGAUUGUUGAAAAGAUGUGAUGUCAUUUCUAAGCUU
rnacentral:snoRNA from 1 species